GUUUGAAUAGUUUAAGGUAAAAUAUUGAUUUGUGGAAUCAAGGAUAUAUAAGAUAUUUCAGAUA
rnacentral:tRNA from 1 species